rnacentral:tRNA from 2 species
CGCGGAGUGGAGCAGUCUGGUAGCUCGUUGGGCUCAUAACCCAGAGGUCGGAGGUUCAAAUCCUCCCUCCGCAACCA